rnacentral:piRNA from 1 species
AUGAGUAAUAUAAACAGGAGAUCUUCUAGA